rnacentral:rRNA from 1 species
ACACGACUACAUUAGUACCCGCGUAGUCCUAGGCGUAAAUGAUGCGAGUUAAGUGUGGGGGCAUCUACGAGAUGGCCCUGUGCUGUAGGGUAGCCGUUAAACUCGCUGCCUGGGGAGUACGGUCGCAAGGCUGAAACUUAAAGGAAUUGGCGGGGGAGCACCGCAACGGGAGGAGCGUGCGGUUCAAUUGGAUUCAACGCCGGACAACUCACCAGGAGCGACGGUUACAUGAAGGCCAGGCUGAAGACUUUGCCGGAUUAGCUG